ensembl:lncRNA
AGACACCACCUCAAAAGAAGACGCCACAGACAGUCAGUCUGAUGAAAGUCCACUGGAGGAAAUGAAAGAAGACAAGCAGGAAGACAAACCUGAGUCUGACAGCUCCAGUCUGGACUCAAAUUCAGACUCGGACACUGACAGUAAAGAUAAAGAGCAGGACAAAGAGAAGAAGAGCACAGAGUCCACAGACACAGAAAGCUCUGAUAGCGACACAGACAGCUCAGAAACAGGAGGGGAAGAUACUGAUGAAGACAAUGACUCCAGCAUGGAAAAGGAGAAACAAGAGUCUCCUGAUGGUGCAUCAAUAGAGACAAAUGAAUCUGACUCCAGCGACGACCAUGACAAUCACUCGACAGAUGUUACAACAUCAAACGAGGAACACACUGAUGCAGACAGCCAUGAUGCUGCAGACGAUGAUGACGACACUGAUGCCCAUGAUGAUGAAGUCAGGGUUGGAGAUGGCAUAGACACUGCUUCUAAAAAACACGAUGAACCAGAUCAUCUUGAUGACACAACACAAGGAUCAGAUGACGGCAGCAAAACCCCUAUGCCAAGCUCCUAGCGACCAGGACUCUACAAAAACACUGUAACAGGUAUCACAUAAUCACCGAUUAAAAGCUUUACAUAGGCCUUACUUUAAGUUUAUAAAGACAACAUAUUUCAAAUUUCUAUUCUUACAGUUGUCUGUCUCUUACCCAGUCUCUGAUUACUUCAUCUGCUGUCUUAAAUGAUACUAUGGAAACUAAUCAUACUUAUAACUUUAUUUGAUUUUUCACAUUUUUAUAUUGCAGUCUCCUGAACAAUGAAUGUACAUUAAUUGUACAUUCAAGGCAAUUAUAGCAUAUCAGUGGUAUCAAAUUAAAUUCUAAGACAAACAAUAAUAAUAAAGGGUAAAUCAGCAUAUUCA